UCUGCCUAGUAAGCUGAUGGCUCAAUAAGAGUGCUUUUUCCAGCUGGCACUGGCACAACUCCCCAGAAACAGGUAAUUAGAGUG
rnacentral:lncRNA from 1 species